CUGGGCCGAGCGGCGGAGCCGACCCCAGCGAAGGGGGCGCGAGCGGCAGCGCCCGGGGCUGCCCGCAGCUGGGGUGACUGCGCCCGAGUCCUGGCCACGCGGAGGUUCGGGCACUGGGCCGGGCGGAGCCGAGCCGUGCCAUGGGGGAGGCGCCCAGCCCUGCGCCGGCGCCCGCGCUCUGGGACUGGGACUACCUGGACCGCUGCUUCGCCCGACACCGCGUCUGCAUCUCCUUCGGCCUGUGGAUCUGCGCCUCCUCCUGCUGGAUCGCCGCCCACGCGCUGCUUCUCUACCUGAGAUGUGCAAAGAAAUCUGGACAGGACCCGUCAGUGCUGUGUGCUGCAUGCUGUCUCCUGACCAGCCUGUGUGACACCACUGGGGCCAUUCUGGCCAGACAGCUUACUAUCCAGGUUUUCACUGGUGCCUACCUAGCAGCUGUUGACUUGGCGAACUUUGUGUUCAUUCUCUUCCCACUCUGCGGCUCCAAAUUCAAGUCUAAUUCGUGUCGGAGCUCCCGGGAGAGGAAGAGGAGGCAGCAGCUGAGAGCCAGCGUAUUUGCCCUGGCCCUGCCACUGAGCCUGGGCCCAGGUUGGGCCCUCUGGGCCGCUGUCCCAAAAGCUUCAGGCCCCAUUCAAGGGCCACAACGAAGGUUGCUGGGAAGCCUGCUGCAGGACAACACUGAAAUCCUCGGCUACCUGCUGGGUGGCAUUGCCUCCUUUGGCUCCUGGGCUUCCCGGAUCCAUCCACUCUCCAGAAUCUGCCGGGGUAAGGCUUUUCCCUCCAUCCACCUGUGGACCCGCCUCCUGUCGGCCCUAGCUGGCCUCCUUUAUGCCUCGGCCAUUGUGGCCCAUGACCAGCGGCCUGAGUACCUACUUCGGGCUACACCCUGGCUCCUGACCUCCCUCGGCCGUGCAGCUCUGGACCUCUCUAUCAUUCUCCUUUCCUGGGCGAUGAGAAGCAAGAUGCGGCAGGCCUUGGGGUUUGCCUCUGAAGCCGGAGAGAGCCCCGACACCCAGGCCCUUUUGACCAGUGCAGAGAAAGAGGAAGAAAACCAGGAGGCAAGGAACGAGAAUUCAGACUGGGUGCCUCUCACCACACUCCCACACUGCGGCUCCCUCAGGACAAUGGCAGCCAUCAGUCACUACUUGGAGCUGACCGUCGAGCCAGUGCAGCAGGCUGCAGUGCCAUCAGGCUGCCUGGCGACGGACAGAGGAGCGCUGGAGACGCAUGCCUGCAGGAGCCGCCCUCGUACCCUCCGGUUCAGGUCAUCCGGGCCUGCAUGUCUUCCAGCAGCUCCUCUGAGGUCUCCUCCAUCAACUCUGACCUCGAGAGAACCAGGACUGGAGCUGUCCCUUGGGUGGAGGAUUAUAAGAGAUGGGAAGUGUCUGUUCCACCAAGAUGCUGUCUGUUUUUUUCUCCAUAGUGGGACCCUGAAGAUGUAAACCUUGAAGGGAACAAAGACAACGUGGAGUUGCUCAGAUCCCAGGUGCACAGGUGCUCUAUGAGGCCAAUGGACUUGACCUCUGAUGAGUAAUACCUUCUGAAGCCAGCCUAUCACAGUUCUGAGCCCAAGGUCAAGUAUUUGUCAGGAACUGAGCAGGGAUCAACCUCCAAUAACACCCGUGGCAGAAAUCUAGGCAUCUGCAGAGGCUGCCUGUGAAAGUGAAGAACCAGGAGCUGUUACUGAGCUUGGCUGGUUUGCAUCAUGGCUCAGAAUGGAGUUAAAGCUUCGGGUCCUAUGAACAGACCUGGACAUGCCUAGAGUUUUUUCUGAAGAUUAGAAGUUUGACCACUCUUAUUUUGAAACUUAAACCUUCAUGUAAAGGACAUUGGACUCUCUUUUCCCUUUCCCUUUAGAUCCAGCCAUACUCUGAAUAUCUGCAGAGUGCCACAAAAGAGUCCAUCUAACAAAUAGUUAUAUGUUUGGAUCUCAGAAGAACCUCAUUCUGCAAGACCUGGUUAAGUCCAGGAGAUGAGAGGGGUGGGCCCAUGUGCUUGGGGUCUAGGACACAAUCACUGAUGGGCCCUGCCUCCUGCCCUCCAGUCACCCACUUGAGUUUCCUGCUGGAAGUUAGAAAUAAGACUGCUGGAUCAAUCAAGUAUUUGUGAGAUCACUUGUACUGCAAAGGCAAGCAAAGCAAACUGCUCUAGGAACCAGGACAUAUGCCAACCUGGCAAUGUUUGUACUCGGGCAGGGUUUGCAGGUGAAGGGGACUGUCUGCUUCAGGAGGUAACUGAAAGCAAGAGACAUGGCAGGAAGUGUUAAAUUCAAAAAUAGCAAUCCCAUUUUAGGAUUAUUUUGACACUAUGAUCAUGGGAGAGGGGCAGGGUGGGAGAAACACUGGAGUAAAUAAAUCCUGAUGGAGUGAACUAUAACAUCUCACUGUGAAGCAGAAAUGUGUCUGAAUCCCAGGACAGCCACAGAAGUUGGCCACAAAGGGAACUGAGACAAAUGCUAAGAAAUAGAGCUCUGUUCCUGGAUGGACCCUGGCAGUCUGUGUGACUCAGCCGCACCUGCCCAGUCUCUCCUAAUGGAUAGUGCAAGUCCCUGCAGCAUGAAGCAUGGGGUCGGUCCCUCAGGGAAACAGGUCCAUGCUUUGGCAGGGGAGGCUCUGCCUUAAGCCAACCCAAGAUUUGAUAGAAGCUGAAGAUCUGAAGAAGUUUUAAGAACGUGAGUGUGUGGCACUAUCCCAAAAGUCAUCCCAUCAGCCAAACAAGGCACCAGGCAUCCAGGGCUGCUUCUUGGAGGGGCCGAUGCUUCAUUCUACAGAAUGUUAAAUGCCUUCAGAUUAACUUCAAGUUAACUUGGUCUGUCUCUUGAGAACUCAGCGUACCUUCCCCAUUCCGUUGGAAAAUUUCCACAGCUGCCGGUAUUGGCAGCAGAGGGCCGGAUCUUGUCUUCCUGGUCCUCGUGGUCUGUAACGAUGAUUGCUGCGGGGCUUAAUCCCUAUCCGGAGUCGGGGGCAACUGGCCCCUCUUCAACAUGCUUUGGGUUCACCUACGACCUCUCGAUGGGGCAGUAAGUGGUCUCCCCUAAUUGCGAAGGGGUUUGGAGGCACCGUCAGAAUUGAGUCCUGGUUUGCGACGACCUGACCUCUUUCUCGGAAAAGCUGCCACACCCGCGAGCCCUGGGGGGGCAUUCAACCACUGCCCGAGGACUUCCGGUAAGAGAGGAAACGUGAGAUUGGCGCGUGCGCACUACGGAGCUGCCGCCUCGCGAAUCUCACGAGUGCAGCGCCGCCGCGGCCGCGCGCCCUGCCCCUCGGGAGUUCCUGGCUCGGCGCAGGCGCCCCCGCGGCUGGAGGACUAUCUGGAGCAGCUUCUCGUGUACGUUGCGCUGCGCUGAUUUUUAAGGGGAUAAUUCCAAUGUUAUUUUACUGUUCUUAACGUGUUUUGAGACGGCUGAACAUCCUUUAUAUGGUGUAUUGCAAAUCAUUCUCUGUGUUUAAAUACAUUUUAUGGUUUUUGAAGUAAA